AUUGAGUUUAAUCAUAAUCUUAGAUAAACAAUUUACUUUUCCAUCAAGUCAAACAUCAUCAUCAAAUUAAACUUAAACAAUAACAUCAAACUAAGAAAAAUAAAAGAAUAACAAAAAGAUAAAACUCAAGAAUUAUAAUCUUGAUCUUCCAAAUCUUCUUCUUGAAUCUUUCAAAUUCUUCUUAGCUUUAAUGACUUUGUGACUUGAUUCUCAAUUAUCAAUCUGGUGUUUCGUUCUCCCCCCUUUAAAAGUCCUCCGAAAGGUUUUUUUUUUAAGUUUUGAAACUAGGCUAAGUUGGGUGAAGAAAGAAAUCAAUUCAAAUUAGGAUUUCCUCAUUAGACUACGUGAGUGGUGACCUCAACCCAUUAAUUAGCAGAAAUCGAAAUUGCUCUAGGACUAUUGCAGUACUUCAAAUUUGACAUAAAUUUUGACCAUCUUUCAGGUAGAACUAGGCAAAGUAGUAAACAUAAAAGUCAUAUAUUUUCCUCCAAUCUUUCCAAUGGUUCAAGAAUCGUCUCAUUUGGAUCUUUGUAGAGAGAGUUAUGGUUGAAAUACCGAAACAUGUGCAAUGAAAGUUUGCACCUUGAAAUUGCUUUCCUUCUUCCAUUUAAAUUCUUCCUUCUUUAAACACCUACAAAAGCACAACUAAAUCAAUAACAACCUAUCUUAAUCACAUUAACAUCAAAUUAAAUAUAAAAUUAACUAAGAUUAGAUUGACUCACCUAAAUUAAGAAACUUAAAAUAAUUUAAAUAAAACCUACUAAUUUUUAUGCAUUACCGCAAGAACUAAGCCAAAUUACUAUCAAAAUUAAGCCUGUUAUGUCUAUGAUAUAGAGUUCUUAGUUAGUUUGUUAUGUCUGGCUGCUAUGGAUAAUAUUUUGCUUAUGCCUUGUAUUUUAUAACAUGUAUUUUAAGAGUUGCCACGAGAUGACUACGCUUUGUAUUUGCCACGAGAUGGCCAUACUUGUUAUUUUGAAAUGUGGCAUUUUAAGCACGUGAGCGUGCAAACUUGAUGUGAUAUAUACAUAUCCUUUAUGCUAUAAUAUGUUCAUUCAUGUCUAAUGUCACGACCCAAAUUCCAAGCCAUGACAGGCGCAAGGGCCCAAUAGACGUAGUCCUUUAAGCCCAAGCAAGCCUAUCUAUUUAUCCUACUCAUCAUUCCAUCAAAUAUUGCUAAGUCACAAUUUAUAACUGUAAUUCAAAAUAGUGAUAGACAUUGUCAACUCGUAUUGGCAUUACUCAUUUAAAAUAUACAUACAUUGUCUACAGCAUGUAUUCUAAUAAUUUACAUUAGGUUCAUCUAUACACAACAAAAGAAUACUCGACUUCCAGUAGAGAGACUCGGAUGAAUGUACAGUUACUAAAUGCCGAGACACUUACCAAAAGAUGGAUACAAGUCUACAAGGACACCUCGUCCUAGUUACCGGUUACCUCUUGAUCUGAAAACAUGAAGUUGAAAAUGAUGAGUAUAAACCCAAUGAGUGAACAAGGAAGGGAACAAGCAACAACAAGGGAGAAUUUAAAAUCAUGACGCACUUGUUUCAAAAUAAUGCAAUUUAGUUCCAUUCAUAUUAAAAACCCCUCAUCAAGCCCUUAAAUGAUUAAUCAUUUGAAAAUCAAAAACCCAUACAUAAUGAACCAUUUGAAAAAUGAAAGCUUCAAUGAUACGCAAGCAAGUCAAUUAUGACAACGACGCUACAGCGAGAAUGCCUUUUCUCUGCAGCGACGUUGGGAUUAAGUUAUUAGCCGAACGAGGGUUUCUCAACUGGUCAAGGGUUUCCCACUAAAUCCCCUCAAUUUAAACUUAACUCAUUUAAUCUUUAAUGUUGGAAGUCCAUGCUCAGAUAUGGUAGCAAAGAAGUGAGAAAUAGGGCAGCAAAUGGACAAGAUAGGAGACAAAAACAGAAAGUUUUUCGUUGUAGCAAGAUUGAAUCUCGCUGCAACGAGAUUUUGGUCAUAAAACAGAAAGUUUCUCACUACAGCAAGAAUAAAGUUCACUGCAGUGAAAUUGUGACCCAGAAACAGAAAGUUUUUCGCUGCAGCGAGAAUGAAUUUCGCUACAGCGAGAAGCUACAGUGUCAUUCUCGCUGCAGCAAAAAUGCUUCCUCACUGCAACGAGUUUUCGACCAGUCUACUUCUCCAAAACCUAAGAGUUUCUCGCUGCAGCGAGAAUCAGAACAUCAAGAAAAAGGUCUCCUUUUCCCUUAAAAUAAAGCCAUCCUGCUAAAUAACAAAAGCAACAUAUAACACAUGCAAACUCCUAAAUUUCAACAAAUCAAAUGUUCACAUUUUCGCAUUUACAGCCAUAUACCAUAUAUGUGUAUAUAUAUAUAUAUAUAACAAUCAUCUUGUACACUCUCCCAUCAUCAUCAUCAUCUCAUAUGCAACGGCUUAUGCACACUCCCACUUGCACAUAGCCGGGUCAGCAACGGCUUAUGUGCACUCCUACUCGCACAUAGCCGGGUCCACAUCAACAUACAAAUAAGCACCCAAUGCAUAUCAUGCAUAUUAUCAUAUUUUGAUAACACAUAAUCCAUUGUAUGUCACAAUUUCACAAUAUAAAAUCACUUCACCAAAGGCUUGUUCCCAAGAUACAUUUUCAAAUACAAGUUGGAUAAAAUCAUUCAUAUUCCCCAAAACAAGUUUGAAAUGCAAGUCCACUCACCGGUAUAUUGUUGAGCCUUUCACUGACUCUAAUUUCCUCUAAUUGUCCAAAUGGGAUGAUGGGGCUUCCUUGGAACCUACCAUCACAUUAAUAUCACCAUUAUGUUAAUUCAUAUACUAUAAACCCUAAAAGUUAUCUCUUAACUAGCUUUCACUUGCCACUUCAAAUGGCUAUCUAUGUUCACUAUCUAAAUCACUAUAAAAUGAAUAAACAUCCUCAACAAUAAAACAGCUCAUAAUCUAAAUUUCUAGCCAUUAUCCACAACUAAAAACCAAGUUUAGUUUAUCACUCACCCUAGGGUUCCUUUGUAGUGGAAUUCUCUUCCAAAAGCUUCCAAACCAAUGGUGUAAUUCUCUCUUUCUCUCUCUAAAACGCCCAACUAGUGAGAGAAAGUAUGAAAAUAAGAUUUAUCAAGGGUUUUGAAGUGAGAGAAUGAAAGAAUAUAAGGGUUUUAGUCAAAAGGGCACAAAAGUAUGAAAUUUAGGGCUAGAGAGAGAAAAUCAUGCAAGCUAAAUAUCAAGCUUCCAUGGAGGUUUUAAAGAAACGUGAGAGGGAAGAAGAAGAUGAAGACAAAGCUACUGGAAAAUGGGAGAAGAAGCUGCUGGAAGAAGGAUAUUUAUAGGCCAAACUUAUCCAUUCCCUUAAAAUUACGAAAAUGUCCUUGACUAGUUAGCUUGUUCUCAUGCAACCCUUUGUGCAAUCUUUUCACUCUUUAACACUGGGACCAAGUCCAUAAUGGUCUAGACAUGUUCAGGUUUGCGAAACUUUUAAAAGUUUUGACUCGGGUGCAAAAU
rnacentral:lncRNA from 1 species